UAAGGAAUAUUGGUCAAUGGACGCAAGUCUGAACCAGCCAUGCCGCGUGGAGGAUGAAGGUCCUCUGGAUUGUAAACUUCUUUUAUUUGGGAAGAAAUGUAGACAUUCUUGUUUACUUGACGGUACCAGAUGAAUAAGCACCGGCUAACUCCGUGCCAGCAGCCGCGGUAAUACGGAGGGUGCAAGCGUUAUCCGGAUUCACUGGGUUUAAAGGGUGCGUAGGCGGGCAGGUAAGUCAGUGGUGAAAUCUUCGAGCUUAACUCGGAAACUGCCAUUGAUACUAUCUAUCUUGAAUAUUGUGGAGGUUAGCGGAAUAUGUCAUGUAGCGGUGAAAUGCUUAGAUAUGACAUAGAACACCCAUUGCGAAGGCAGCUAACUACGCAUAUAUUGACGCUGAGGCACGAAAGCGUGGGGAUCAAACAG
rnacentral:rRNA from 1 species